GACGAACGCUGACGGCGUGCUUAACACAUGCAAGUCGAAGGGAGUGGCAAACGGGUGAGUAACACGUGAGUAACCUGCCCUUUUCUUUGGUAUAAGCCUGGGAAACUGGGUCUAAUACUGUAUGGGUUGGGGUGGGCUCGCGGCUUAUCAGCUUGUUGGUGGGGUGAUGGCUUACCAAGGCUUUGACGGGUAGCCGGCCUGAGAGGGUGGUCGGCAACACUGGGACUGAGAUACGGCCCAGACUCCUACGGGAGGCAGCAGUGGGGGAUAUUGCACAAUGGACGAAAGUCUGAUGCAGCGACGUCGUGUGGGGGAUGAAGGCCUUCGGGUUGUAAACUUCUUUCGCCAGCGGAAGGGUAGUUGGUAAAGAAGCGCCGGCUAACUACGUGCCAGCAGCCGCGGUAAUAC
rnacentral:rRNA from 1 species